AGGUUAAAAGUUACAGUCCAUCUAAUCUGACCCCCCUUUCAAUAUCCAAAUCCCCGCUGUUGUACACGGCCAUUGCGGAGGCCCCUUUCUGUGUUCUGUGAGCCUUCCCAAAUGCAUGCUGGUGACUGCCUGUGCAAAGUAAGAAAGUUAUCCCAGUUCAUUCCAAAAGAUCCCAGGCCAAAGGGCAAUAGAGUCUUUUCUUUUCCUUUAAAAGUUAAUGUCAUGUAUAAAUAGCAUUAUUUAAGGCACUAGAAAAUAUUGAAUUCCAGGAAACCCAGGAGGGAGAGGCAGGACAGCCUGGGAGUAGCAUUAGUGUAUAGUUGUUUUGCUUCUGAUCUCCAGCCUCUAGAAAAAUGACUUGGGUGUAAUCAAAAAAAAAAAAA